CCUUGUUUCUCCUCAAAAUUAUGUCGUCUGCAGCCAACAUAAUUUCUCAGGCCAAAACAAGAACUCCUCCAAUCACUCACUCUACUCUAGAAGGAGUUAGAACAACAAAUCGUUGACUUUCGCGAUAAUUCACGCCUCUCGCGUCUUGCCUUCCUAAGGUUUGCCAAACUUAGGGCUCCUAGGUCCCAACGACCUACAGCUAAGCUCUGAUACCAACUUAAUCUGUCACGCCCCGGAUUACUCGUUUCCCCGGGUUCGUUAACAGACCCGCCGUAUAUAUAAGUAUUUCCUCUGUAUACGAAGCGAAAAGUAAAAGUACAUGUAAUCAUACAAUACUACAAACAGUAGUGCAGAGCAGCUAGAAAAAUAAACCAUAAAU
rnacentral:lncRNA from 1 species